UUAGGCUGCUCAUAGUGGGGAGUAACUUAGCCAAGUAACAUGCAUAUGUUACUGGUCUAUGUUACUACCUCCAUAGUGGAUAGUAACAUUUGUGGGAUGUCAUAUUAAUUAGGAUAUAGACUCAUUUUGUAUUGGUAUGUGUGAUGUUACUGUAACAUAGCUAGUUACCACAAGCACCUCUCUCCUCAUUAACUCACUGCCACAUAAGCAAAUUUGCAUUGUAAUGUGUGAUGUUACUACUAUGUUACUUC
rnacentral:lncRNA from 1 species